rnacentral:rRNA from 1 species
GGCCUCGGAUCAGGUAGGAAUACCCGCUGAACUUAAGCAUAUC